rnacentral:rRNA from 1 species
CCUACGGGGGGCUGCAGUGGGAAUAUUGGACAAUGGGCGAAAGCCUGAUCCAGCCAUGCCGCGUGUGUGAAGAAGGCCUUCGGGUUGUAAAGCACUUUCAGUGGGGAAGAAAGCCUUGGGGCUAAUACCCUCGAGGAAGGACAUCACCCACAGAAGAAGCACCGGCUAACUCCGUGCCAGCAGCCGCGGUAAUACGGAGGGUGCGAGCGUUAAUCGGAAUUACUGGGCGUAAAGCGCGCGUAGGCGGUCUGAUAAGCCGGUUGUGAAAGCCCCGGGCUCAACCUGGGAACGGCAUCCGGAACUGUCAGGCUAGAGUGCAGGAGAGGAAGGUAGAAUUCCCGGUGUAGCGGUGAAAUGCGUAGAGAUCGGGAGGAAUACCAGUGGCGAAGGCGGCCUUCUGGACUGACACUGACGCUGAGGUGCGAAAGCGUGGGUAGCAAACAGGAUUAGAUACCCUAGUAGUC